UACCGCGGUUAUACGAGUCAACCCCAGUUGAUAUUCAACGGCGUAAAACGUGGUUAAGAACACACUUAAACUAAAGCCGAAAACCUUCAGUGUCGUCAAAAACAUACGAAGAUAAUAAGAACAUCUACGAAAGUGGCUUUAAACUUAUCUGAUCCCACGAAAGCUGAGGCC
rnacentral:rRNA from 1 species